GAUGAACGCUGGCGGCGUGCCUAAUACAUGCAAGUCGAGCGAACAGACGAGGAGCUUGCUCCUCUGACGUUAGCGGCGGACGGGUGAGUAACACGUGGAUAACCUACCUAUAAGACUGGGAUAACUUCGGGAAACCGGAGCUAAUACCGGAUAAUAUAUUGAACCGCAUGGUUCAAUAGUGAAAGACGGUUUUGCUGUCACUUAUAGAUGGAUCCGCGCCGCAUUAGCUAGUUGGUAAGGUAACGGCUUACCAAGGCAACGAUGCGUAGCCGACCUGAGAGGGUGAUCGGCCACACUAGAACUGAGACACGGUCCAGACUCCUACGGGAGGCAGCAGUAGGGAAUCUUCCGCAAUGGGCGAAAGCCUGACGGAGCAACGCCGCGUGAGUGAUGAAGGCCUUCGGAUCGUAAAACUCUGUUAUUAGGGAAGAACAAAUGUGUAAGUAACUAUGCACGUCUUGACGGUACCUAAUCAGAAAGCCACGGCUAACUACGUG
rnacentral:rRNA from 1 species